GAUGAACGCUGGCGGCGUGCCUAACACAUGCAAGUCGAGCGAUUCUCUUCGGAGAAGAGCGGCGGACGGGUGAGUAACGCGUGGGUAACCUGCCCUGUACACACGGAUAACAUACCGAAAGGUAUGCUAAUACGAGAUAAUAUGCUUUUAUCGCAUGGUAGAAGUAUCAAAGCUCCGGCGGUACAGGAUGGACCCGCGUCUGAUUAGCUAGUUGGUAAGGUAACGGCUUACCAAGGCGACGAUCAGUAGCCGACCUGAGAGGGUGAUCGGCCACAUUGGGACUGAGACACGGCCCAG
rnacentral:rRNA from 1 species